CCCUUGGGAAAGGCUAAAACCCCACAGCUGCAACAUCCAUCAACUUCAGUAUACAACCCAUGCCUAAGGCUUGCACUCCGGUAGAAGCAAGAAAAUAGAGCUAACCCUUGGGCAAGGCUCGUGACCUAAUUAGUAGAAAGAGACCUAUGCCAUAACCACACAAGCCUUCCAAGGUUAAGGUAGCAAUUAAAUUUAAAAAAGGGAAGCC
rnacentral:lncRNA from 1 species